rnacentral:rRNA from 1 species
UACGGAGGGGACUAGCGUUGUUCGGAAUUACUGGGCGUAAAGCGCACGUAGGCGGAUUUGUAAGUCAGUUGUGAAAUCCCGGGGCUCAACCUCGGAACUGCCUUUGAUACUGCAAAUCUCGAGUCCGGAAGAGGUGAGUGGAAUUCCUAGUGUAGAGGUGAAAUUCGUAGAUAUUAGGAAGAACACCAGUGGCGAAGGCGGCUCACUGGUCCGGUACUGACGCUGAGGUGCGAAAGCGUGGGGAGCAAACAGG